GCGGGAGUAGCUCAGUUGGUAGAGCACGACCUUGCCAAGGUCGGGGUCGAGGGUUCGAACCCCUUCUCCCGCU
rnacentral:tRNA from 2 species